ACGGGAGGCAGCAGUGAGGAAUAUUGGUCAAUGGUCGCAAGACUGAACCAGCCAAGUAGCGUGCAGGAAGACAGCCCUAUGGGUUUUAAACUGCUUUUGUAUGCGAAUAAAACUUGAUACGCGUUAUCAAAUUGCAUGUAGCAUACGAAUAAGCAUCGGCUAAUUCCGUGCCAGCAGCCGCGGUAAUACGGAAGAUGCAAGCGUUAUCCGGAUUUAUUGGGUUUAAAGGGAGCGUAGGCGGUCUAUUAAGUCAGCGGUUAAAUGUCGAUGCCCAACAUCGUCCAGCCGUUGAAACUGGCAGACUUGAAUACACACAAGGAUGGUGGAAUUCGUCGUGUAGCGGUGAAAUGCUUAGAUAUGACGAAGAACUCCGAUUGCGAAGGCAGCCAUCUGGAGUGCGAUUGACGCUGAGGCUCGAAAGUGCGGGAAUCAAACAGGAUUAGAUACCCUGGUA
rnacentral:rRNA from 1 species